GUGGGGAAUAUUGGACAAUGGGGGGAACCCUGAUCCAGCCAUGCCGCGUGUGUGAAGAAGGCCUUAUGGUUGUAAAGCACUUUAAGCGAGGAGGAGGCUACUUUAGUUAAUACCUAGAGAUAGUGGACGUUACUCGCAGAAUAAGCACCGGCUAACUCUGUGCCAGCAGCCGCGGUAAUACAGAGGGUGCGAGCGUUAAUCGGAUUUACUGGGCGUAAAGCGUGCGUAGGCGGCUUAUUAAGUCGGAUGUGAAAUCCCCGAGCUUAACUUGGGAAUUGCAUUCGAUACUGGUGAGCUAGAGUAUGGGAGAGGAUGGUAGAAUUCCAGGUGUAGCGGUGAAAUGCGUAGAGAUCUGGAGGAAUACCGAUGGCGAAGGCAGCCAUCUGGCCUAAUACUGACGCUGAGGUACGAAAGCAUGGGGAGCAAACAGG
rnacentral:rRNA from 1 species